rnacentral:rRNA from 1 species
CCGCCGGCGACCGGCGCACGGGUGAGUAACACGUAUGCAACCUGCCCCUGUCAGGGGGACAACCCGCCGAAAGGCGGGCUAAACCCGCGUACAUGCCACCGGGGCAUCCCGGAGGCAGGAAAGGCUUCGGCCGGACAGGGAUGUGCAUGCGGCGCAUUAGGCAGUAGGCGGGGUAACGGCCCACCUAACCGACGAUGCGUAGGGGUUCUGAGAGGAAGGUCCCCCACACUGGUACUGAGACACGGACCAGACUCCUACGGGAGGCAGCAG